rnacentral:tRNA from 18 species
GCGGCGGUAGCUCAAUUGGAUAGAGCACAGGUCUUCUAAACCUGAGGUUGUGAGUUCGAUCCUCGCCCGCCGCGCCA